GACGAACGCUGGCGGCGUGCCUAAUACAUGCAAGUAGAACGCUGAAGGAGGAGCUUGCUUCUCUGGAUGAGUUGCGAACGGGUGAGUAACGCGUAGGUAACCUGCCUGGUAGCGGGGGAUAACUAUUGGAAACGAUAGCUAAUACCGCAUAAGAGUAGAUGUUGCAUGACAUUUGCUUAAAAGGUGCAAUUGCAUCACUACCAGAUGGACCUGCGUUGUAUUAGCUAGUUGGUGGGGUAACGGCUCACCAAGGCGACGAUACAUAGCCGACCUGAGAGGGUGAUCGGCCACACUGGGACGGAGACACGGCCCAGACUCCUACGGGAGGCAGCAGUAGGGAAUCUUCGGCAAUGGACGGAAGUCUGACCGAGCAACGCCGCGUGAGUGAAGAAGGUUUUCGGAUCGGAAAGCUCUGUUGUAAGAGAAGAACGAGUGUGAGAGUGGAAAGUUCACACUGUGACGGUAUCUUACCAGAAAGGGACGGCUAACUACGUG
rnacentral:rRNA from 1 species